UAUGCGCGACUGUCGUCGACACCAACGGCUAUUGGUUGUAAAGAAAAGUUAGGUCACAGGCACGGAUGGCUGCUAUGGCUGCGAGAGUGGUGGUUGCAGCAGGAAACCAUGGCCGUCUAACGACGCCGUAUUUCUUUCUCCUCAGACCAUUCUCCGUCACAAGCACAAGCACAAGCAGAGCUCUUCGUCUGAAUCCUAAUCUCAAGGGAUGGCCCAGGAGGCGCUUCACUUGCCGAGCUGUCUACAAUCCGGAGGAGGUUCUGAUCAAAGAGGAAGGCCAGCCCGAAACCCUGGAUUACCGCGUCUUUCUUGUCAAUCACUCCGGCAAAAAGUUAUCUCCUUGGCACGAUAUACCGUUGCGCUUGGGCAAUGGGAUUUUUAAUUUUAUCGUUGAGAUACCUAAAGAUACAUGCGCAAAAAUGGAGGUUGCUACUGAUGAGCCAUACACUCCUAUAAAGCAGGACACGAAGAAGGGAAAACUUCGUUACCAUCCCUACAACAUAAAUUGGAACUACGGACUGCUUCCUCAGACUUGGGAAGACCCGUCAUUUGCAAACUCUGAAGUUGAUGGAGCAUUAGGAGAUAAUGAUCCAGUUGAUGUUGUCGAGAUUGGAGAGAGGCAGGCACAAAUUGGUCAAAUCCUUAAGGUCAAGCCACUAGCUGCUUUAGCUAUGAUUGAUGAGGGGGAGCUUGAUUGGAAAAUAGUUGCGAUUUCAUUGGAUGACCCAAGAGCUUCCCUUGUGAAUGAUGUUGAUGAUGUCGAGAAACAUUUUCCGGGUACUCUCAUUGCAAUCAGGGAUUGGUUUAGAGAUUACAAAAUCCCAGAUGGAAAACCUGCUAGCAGAUUUGGUCUUGGCAACAAGGCAGCAAACAAGGAUUAUGCUUUAAAGGUCAUCAAUGAGACAAAUGAGUCUUGGGCUAAGCUAAUCAAGAGAUCUACCCCUGCUGACAAUCUUUCACUUGUGUAAAUUUAAUCAACACAGUUGGCUGAUUAUGCUGCUGCUGCUAAUUGACACAUCACAAGAUUUUUCUUGUUUCUUCUACUUGUAUCUGACAUGUUCUGGAACAUUGGAUAUUGAAUGGCAUUUGAAAUUAUUGGAAUUGUUUUGUGGUACAAACUAUGAUGUCUUGGUGAUUAGACUUUUUAUAGUUGCCAUCUCAAAUUCCUUUGGGCCUUCCAGAACAGUUGCCCCUGAAUUUCAGCAGCAGUCUCUGGAAUUCUACACAAGUUCUAUCCUUGCACCGUUAGAGACGGUUUAAGAAAUUCCUGAGGGUGGUCAAUCUAUGCGAAGACUUUUACUAGGUCUAUUUUCUGGGGGUCAUGUACGGCUCCCUGCACCUAUUUGAAAGAAGACUGCUUCAUAGACCGAACUCCUUCCUCCUUAGGCAGCUGGCUCAAGUUUCUCUUCUCUUCUCUGGAGUGAGCAACCUGCAUGUUUAUCAAAACAGGGUGGUAAUUCGUGUUCGUUUGUUGAGGUAUG